ACAGAUGUCCACACUCUUGGUGGCAUCACACAUCUUGUUUUCAUCUUACAUAUCUGUAGGUCAGAAGUCAAAGUGGGCUUCACUGAGCUGCAACCAGGAUAUCUAUUUCCUUUCCUGAUCCAGUUUAUAAAGGCCACUAAUACAUGUGCAUAUAUACUAAUGUACACAUAUAUUAGUAUAUACAUAUUUGCUGUACUGAUGAUGUACUGAUAGACCUCAUAUAUCUCAUGCGUUCUAAAUACUCUACUGUUGAGCUAUAUUCCUCACCCCUAGGCUUUACUAUUUUAUUUCCUGAACGUGCCAACAUCCAUGCUAACUGUAUAUUUCUCUUGGAUGUUCAUGUCUGAGAUAUUUCUCUGAGUUCUACCCUCACUUUGUUCAGGUCUUCACUGUAAUGACAACUGUGUUGAUCACAUUUCAUGCAUUACUUCUUACAAUUAUCACAUUCUCUGUGUCAAUCAGAAACAUAUUCAACUGGCAUUAAGCCUAUUUUCCUUAUAUAUUUUUAACCAGCUUGUUCCAGUUCAUGUGUAAAUAUAUUCCAUUGGGCUAGAAACUUAUUUUAUCCAUUUAUUGAUGUGAUAGUUUGUAUAUGGGUUGAAUGUGGCGAUCCUGUGGAAACACUGAAGGGAGAAGAUGUUUAAAAGGCAAAAGCAACCAUAAACUCCUGCAGUCCUCAGGAGCUACAGUCAGAAGAGAUGGUCAGAAUGAGCUGUUGUUACAAGUCAACCCCUACCCUCAGCCACUUGCUGGCUUCCUAUUUCUCAUGAGAUGUCUUCUUCUUAUAUGUUUCCCUGCUGUGUGAUCUUAAACUUCACCAGAGGCCAAAACAAAUAGGAAUCCCCAGUCUUGGAACUUCAGCCUCCAAACUUUGGUGAAAAAAUUACCCUCUUUACUAUACAGAGUCAGGUUGCCUUAGGCAUUUCGUUAUUAUAACAGUAAGAACAGCAGCAAUCCCAAACAAUCUGACUGCUAUAUCCAGUGCAAGUGUGUUAGACAGAGCCCCCAUGUCCCCACAGUUUAUACUUGAAGAUCCUUUAAAAAGGAGCAAGCUAGUCUUUAAAAAAGAUUUAUUUUAUGUGUAUUUGCCUGUAGGUGUGUAUAUGCUCUACAUACUAGUGAAUACUACAGGUGUCCAUGGAAGCCAGUGAUAUGGUGUCCUCUGGAGCUGGAGUUACAGGAGACUGUAAAAUACCUCUGUGAUUCCUGACUUCAUAAAAUCUUAGAUACAAUUUACUCAAAGAAGUCUGCCAAUGCACUCGUGAUAAAUAUUUAUCAUGUAUUUUUUUUACAAUUGAGUAUCUUCACAAAAUGUCUUCUGAGAAUUAAAUAUGAUAGUAUUCAAGCACCUAAUAGCAGGCCUAAAAUAUCACUAAUUCUUCUCACCCUGUCUGGUACCUAUUUGUAGUAGAAAUACAUUUUCUCAAUAUUUUGAUAUUUUUUCUUUAUGUCUUUCUUAUUCUUUUUGUUAGCAUUUUGUUUCUUGAAAAAUAUUCUCCUGGGCCAGGGAGAUGUCUGAAUGGACAAGAGCAUACACAGAAGACCUGAGUUCAGUUUCCUUCUUAGGAACUCACAGCUUCUUGCCACUCUAGCUCCAGGAGAUCUGAUGCCCUCUUCUGGCCUCUAUGGGCACUGCACUCAAGGGCAGUGAUGCAAGAGAGGGCAUUCAGAGUCUCAUGGGCCGUGGACAUGAGGAUACUAUGGCUGACCAGGAAGCGAACAGAUGGGGCCACAGUGGCAAGGACCCCAAUCACUACAGACCUGCAGGACUGCCUGACAAAUACUGAGCAUCCUCCUUACUGCCUCAGGAGGCUGUGCUGUGGGCUCUGGGGUCAGGACAUGGGGUUCUUCACUUUUGUGUCUACUGUGGGUGUGGAGGACAUACAGUGCACAAAUAAUAAAUUUGUAAGAGAUGAA